ACAGAGGGGGCAAGCGUUGUUCGGAAUUACUGGGCGUAUAGGGCGCGUAGGCGGCCUUCUAAGUCAGACGUGAAAUCCCUCGGCUCAACCGGGGAACUGCGUCUGAGACUGGAAGGCUUGAAUCCGGGAGAGGGAUGUGGAAUUCCAGGUGUAGCAGUGAAAUGCGUAGAUAUGCGGAGGAACACCGAUGGCGAAGGCAAUCUCCUGGACCUGUACUGACGCUCAUGCACGAAAGCGUGGGGAGCAAACAGGA
rnacentral:rRNA from 1 species